AAGAAAAGCAUUUGCUAUUGCUUUUGUUGUUUCUCCCAAAAAAAAAAUCACAGUGUUAAUCAAGGGCCUGAAUUCAGUGAUUUUGUUGAUAUGCCUCUUAAUAUCUUUGAACAGGGAUUUUGGGACCUAAUCAUGGCUUAAACUUGUUAGAUGAUAAUUGGAUGUAUAUGCUCAACCUUUUUCCUGUUCCAUGCAGAAGGAACUCAUUUCUAGAAUUCGAAAUCCAUUUAUUGUAGAG
rnacentral:misc_RNA from 1 species